rnacentral:rRNA from 1 species
GACGUAGGGCGCAAGCGUUGUCCGGAUUUAUUGGGCGUAAAGAGCUCGUAGGCGGCUCGUUGCGUCGGCUGUGAAAACCCGCAGCUCAACUGUGGGCUUGCAGCCGAUACGGGCGGGCUGGAGUUCGGUAGGGGAGACUGGAAUUCAUGGUGUAGCAGUGAAAUGCGUAGAUAUCGUAAGGAAGACCAGUGGCGAAGGCGGGUCUCUGGACAGUUCCUGACGCUGAGGCACGAAGGCCAGGGGAGCAAACGGG